rnacentral:sRNA from 1 species
CUUAGCUUGAAAGUUGAUCUGAAUAUUUAUUUUUCAUUUCGAUGCAUUACCAAAUCAGUAGCUCGUCCUGUUUGUUAAUAAGUACUCUGCAUACCUUCCAGCUAUACCCGCCUCGUUAUGAGGCAUAUUAUUUAUUGAUAAAUUUAGGAUUUUUUUAUGUCUACAACUACUGGUACUGUGAAAUGGUUUAACGAAGCUAAAGGUUUCGGUUUCAUCGAGCAAGAAUCUGGCCCAGACGUUUUCGCACACUUUAGCCAAAUCAAAGGCGACGGUUUCAGAACGCUGAACGAAGGCCAACGUGUUGAGUUCACUGUAACUCAAGGCGCUAAAGGUCCACAAGCUGAAAACAUUACUGCGCUGUAAGCCAGUUUCAGCUUAGACUCGUUAAGGCGAGUCUGACCAAUAAAAAAGCCCCGCUUCUGCGGGGCUUUUUUUA